CACACAUUGGACUAACAAUAGGGGCUUCCCCCUAGGACACUCAGUCUGAGGUGCUCCCACGUUUCCUAUAUAGUACAGGACAGAAAUACUGUCAUGUCUCCUUCCAUGGGUAUAACCCAUAUGAACCACAGCACAGGGGGGUGACAGGGGAGAUGGACGAGAUACUCCCUAGUCCAUGUAGUCUACGUUCCGGUCUCCCGGAAGAUAAAAAUAUAUUUUGAAACUGUGAAAGACGCCUACCUAGGGAAGUAACAUGAGUAUAUCCUGGGCUCUAGUGACCAGGCAGCCUAGCACUAAAAUAAGGUUUCAGUACCAUAAUACCUAAGGUAAAUUUAUUGUACAGAUGGCUUUAGAAAGCAGGAUAAUGCGAGAUUGUACGUAA